AGGAGUGGGGAACUGGGAGAGAGAAAGAGCAGGGAGUGAUGAUACAUUGUUGACAGAAGAUAGAGAGCACAGAUGGAUGACUUGCAAUUGACUAUGCAUCUCACUCCUUUGUGCUCUCUAUGCUUCUGUCAUCACCUCGUUAUAUCUAGCUUCCUUGCCUCUCUCCACACCCGUGCACCU